GAGCCAUGAAAAUCAACAUAAAACGGACAUAUGAUUCUAAACCAACAAGCAACUUAACUUAAGUAUCUACGGAUCCAAGUUCAUGCAGAAACAAAGAAUAAAGUAAUUAAUAAUUGACUAAAGUAAUAUGGAUAUAAACAUGAUUCUCAAUCAAAGUAAAUAAAAAGAGAACUAAGCAUAAUGAGGCUACUGCACGUAUUGACAAGAGAUGCCCACAUACAGUUUAAUAUGGAAUCCAAAGUAAUAAACUUUUUCUUCUUAACCAACAAAUAACCCCAAAUAAUAAAGAAAGAUGCAUAUCAUAAUCUCACACGAUUAAGCAAAGUAAUAAACAACCCAUGGGAUCCUAAAAUGAAGUUAAAGGUUUUGCACAUGCACAAAUCAGCAAAAUAAUAUUAUUAAGGUAAGACAAGAAUGACAUGAAUAAGCUAUGGACCUCAACAUUUCUACAACUUCAAGUAAAGAAAUGGAGAAGGAAACAAUAUGCUUCAACACUCG
rnacentral:lncRNA from 1 species